rnacentral:rRNA from 1 species
AUUGAACGCUGGCGGCAUGCUUUACACAUGCAAGUCGAACGGUAACAGGCCUUCGGGUGCUGACGAGUGGCGAACGGGUGAGUAAUGCAUCGGAACGUACCCAGAGGUGGGGGAUAACGCAGCGAAAGCUGUUCUAAUACCGCAUGUGAUCUGAGGAUGAAAGCGGGGGACCGAGCAGCAAUGUUUGGCCUCGCGCCUUUGGAGCGGCCGAUGUCGGAUUAGCUAGUUGGUGGGGUAAAGGCCUACCAAGGCGACGAUCCGUAGCUGGUCUGAGAGGACGACCAGCCACACUGGGGCUGAGACACGGCCCAGACUCCUACGGGAGGCAGCAGUGGGGAAUUUUGGACAAUGGGCGCAAGCCUGAUCCAGCAAUGCCGCGUGCGGGAAGAAGGCCUUCGGGUUGUAAACCGCUUUUGGCAGGAACGAAACGGUGUCCGCUAAUACCGGGCGCUAAUGACGGUACCUGCAGAAUAAGCACCGGCUAACUACGUG